GCCAGCAGUCCUGCUUUUUGAUUUGUGAAAUUACUUAUCUUCUUUGAAGUGGAAGAGAUAGUACACUAAAGUUCCAUGGUGGCAAAACUGCUUGUGGUUCAUCCAACUGCUGUCACAUUUCACAAUGGCAAGAUCAGUCAGAGAAGAGCUCAGCAGAGCUGAAUGCUUACAGAAGACAAACAGCUAUUCAGCGCAUCUGCCAAUGACUUCAGUGUUUCUCUACAAGGCUACCUGAAGUGCAGAAUGUCAUCUCAACAGUAUGCAUAUGUUAGAAGAUAUAGGCAGGAUUUCAUUCUUUAGUGUUCUAGAUGGAAAAAGUUUUAAAGGACCUGACUCAGAGUUUGUCUUCCUCUUCCUACAAAGUUAAAGGAGAUCAUUCUCGAAUAAUAAAACUGUAAAUUCACAUUUGGAUAUAGCA
rnacentral:lncRNA from 1 species